rnacentral:rRNA from 2 species
AGUCGACGAACUCUGGUAUUGAUUGGUGCUUGCAUCAUGAUUUACAUUUGAGUGAGUGGCGAACUGGUGAGUAACACGUGGGAAACCUGCCCAGAAGCGGGGGAUAACACCUGGAAACAGAUGCUAAUACCGCAUAACAACUUGGACCGCAUGGUCCGAGUUUGAAAGAUGGCUUCGGCUAUCACUUUUGGAUGGUCCCGCGGCGUAUUAGCUAGAUGGUGGGGUAACGGCUCACCAUGGCAAUGAUACGUAGCCGACCUGAGAGGGUAAUCGGCCACAUUGGGACUGAGACACGGCCCAAACUCCUACGGGAGGCAGCAGUAGGGAAUCUUCCACAAUGGACGAAAGUCUGAUGGAGCAACGCCGCGUGAGUGAAGAAGGGUUUCGGCUCGUAAAACUCUGUUGUUAAAGAAGAACAUAUCUGAGAGUAACUGUUCAGGUAUUGACGGUAUUUAACCAGAAAGCCACGGCUAACUACGUGCCAGCAGCCGCGGUAAUACGUAGGUGGCAAGCGUUGUCCGGAUUUAUUGGGCGUAAAGCGAGCGCAGGCGGUUUUUAAGUCUGAUGUGAAAGCCUUCGGCUCAACCGAAGAAGUGCAUCGGAAACUGGGAAACUUGAGUGCAGAAGAGGACAGUGGAACUCCAUGUGUAGCGGUGAAAUGCGUAGAUAUAUGGAAGAACACCAGUGGCGAAGGCGGCUGUCUGGUCUGUAACUGACGCUGAGGCUCGAAAGUAUGGGUAGCAAACAGGAUUAGAUACCCUGGUAGUCCAUACCGUAAACGAUGAAUGCUAAGUGUUGGAGGGUUUCCGCCCUUCAGUGCUGCAGCUAACGCAUUAAGCAUUCCGCCUGGGGAGUACGGCCGCAAGGCUGAAACUCAAAGGAAUUGACGGGGGCCCGCACAAGCGGUGGAGCAUGUGGUUUAAUUCGAAGCUACGCGAAGAACCUUACCAGGUCUUGACAUACUAUGCAAAUCUAAGAGAUUAGACGUUCCCUUCGGGGACAUGGAUACAGGUGGUGCAUGGUUGUCGUCAGCUCGUGUCGUGAGAUGUUGGGUUAAGUCCCGCAACGAGCGCAACCCUUAUUAUCAGUUGCCAGCAUUAAGUUGGGCACUCUGGUGAGACUGCCGGUGACAAACCGGAGGAAGGUGGGGAUGACGUCAAAUCAUCAUGCCCCUUAUGACCUGGGCUACACACGUGCUACAAUGGAUGGUACAACGAGUUGCGAACUCGCGAGAGUAAGCUAAUCUCUUAAAGCCAUUCUCAGUUCGGAUUGUAGGCUGCAACUCGCCUACAUGAAGUCGGAAUCGCUAGUAAUCGCGGAUCAGCAUGCCGCGGUGAAUACGUUCCCGGGCCUUGUACACACCGCCCGUCACACCAUGAGAGUUUGUAACACCCAAAGUCGGUGGG